AAAAGGAUAAGAAACUUUUAUAGGUGUACCUUUUGUAUCAGGGGAAGUUAAAAGUUAAAUUACCGGUGGAUCGAUUUCAGCAGAGCCUUGAUAAAAAAAGUUGUAGUUGAAUUUAUAGGCUCGAUUAUUUAAGAGGUAAAAAAUGUACGGUGCUUAUGGUAUCUAUUUGUUUUUGCGUUCAAGGGGUAAGCUCUUAUAUGUUUAGUCAAAUAAAAAUUUAAAGGGACUAGGCUUUAAAUUAGCUAAGUUGUUAAAUUGUUUUAAAUAACUAAAUUAAAGAAUGAAAUCUAAGGUUUAAAGACUUAGCCUGUAAGUGUGGAUAGGUUUAAACAAUGAAUUUAUUGAAUAUAGGUUGAAGCGUGUAAAUAACUCGUAAGAGGUUAGAAUGUUUAGCAAAAACAUUUUCUUUGGGGGCGUAAAAGAUAAGGCCUGCCCGGUGAUUUUUAACGGCUGCAGUAUUUUGACUGUGCUAAGGUAGCAUAAUCAUUUGUUGCUUAAUUGGUAACUAGUAUGAAGGGUUAAACUAGCUUGUUUGGUUUGUUGCGUUUGUUAGUAUAUUAAAGUCAAGGUAAGAAUUCUUUGAUUUGCUAGGGGACGAUAAGACCCUAGAAGCUUAACAAUAAGGAUGUUCGUUAGUUAUGGAAAUUAAAUUGUUUUACUGGGGCGGUAAAGGUAGAUAAACUAUUAGAGUAUUGAUAGAUCCUUAAAAUAGAGAUAAAGCGGGUAAGUUACUCUAGGGAUAACAGUGCAAUAUUUUUGAAGAGAUCUUAUCGAUAAAUAUGUUUGCAACCUCGAUGUUGAAUUAAAAUAUCUACGUGAGGCAGAAAGUACGGAGAGGUUUGUUCAACC
rnacentral:rRNA from 1 species